rnacentral:rRNA from 1 species
AGAGUUUGAUCAUGGCUCAGAUUGAACGCUAGCGGCAUGCCUUACACAUGCAAGUCGAACGGUAGAGUAGCAAUACUCGAGAGUGGCGAACGGGUGAGUAAUAUAUCGGAACGUGCCCAGUCGUGGGGGAUAACGUAGAGAAAUUUACGCUAAUACCGCAUACGAUCUAAGGAUGAAAGCGGGGGAUUCGCAAGAACCUCGCGCGAUUGGAGCGGCUGAUAUCAGAUUAGGUUGUUGGUGAGGUAAGAGCUCACCAAGCCGACGAUCUGUAGCUGGUUUGAGAGAACGACCAGCCACACUGGGACUGAGACACGGCCCAGACUCCUACGGGAGGCAGCAGUGGGGAAUUUUGGACAAUGGGCGAAAGCCUGAUCCAGCAAUGCCGCGUGCAGGAAGAAGGCCUUCGGGUUGUAAACUGCUUUUGUACGGAACGAAAAGGCUCUUUCUAAUAAAGAGGGCCCAUGACGGUACCGUAAGAAUAAGCACCGGCUAACUACGUGCCAGCAGCCGCGGUAAU